AUUGAACGCUGGCGGUAGGCUUAACACAUGCAAGUCGAGCGGAGAUGAGGUGCUUGCACCUUAUCUUAGCGGCGGACGGGUGAGUAAUGCUUAGGAAUCUGCCUAUUAGUGGGGGACAACAUUCCGAAAGGAAUGCUAAUACCGCAUACGUCCUACGGGAGGAAGCAGGGGAUCUUCGGACCUUGCGCUAAUAGAUGAGCCUAAGUCGGAUUAGCUAGUUGGUGGGGUAAAGGCCUACCAAGGCGACGAUCUGUAGCGGGUCUGAGAGGAGGAUCCGCCACGCUGGGACUGAGACACGGCCCAGACUCCUACGGGAGGCAGCAGUGGGGAAUAUUGGACGAUGGGGGGAAGCCUGAUCCAGCCAUGCCGCGUGUGUGAAGAAGGCCUUUUGGUUGUAAAGCACUUUAAGCGAGGAGGAGGCUACCUGGAUUAAUACUCUAGGAUAGUGGACGUUACUCGCAGAAUAAGCACCGGCUAACUCUGUGCCAGCAGCCGCCGUAAAAC
rnacentral:rRNA from 1 species